AUUGAACGCUGGCGGCAGGCCUAACACAUGCAAGUCGAGCGGCAGCGGAAAGUAGCUUGCUACUUUGCCGGCGAGCGGCGGACGGGUGAGUAAUGUCUGGGAAACUGCCUGCUGGAGGGGGAUAACUACUGGAAACGGUAGAUAAUACCGCAUAACGUCGCAUGCCCAAAGAGGGGGACCUUCGGGCCUCUUGCCAUCAGAUGUGCCCAGAUGGGCUUCGCUAGUAGGUGGGGUAACGUCUCACCUAGGCGGCGAGCCCUAGCUGGUCAGAGAGGAUGAGAGGCCACAUGGGAAGGUAGACGCGGACCAUGCUCCUACGGGAGGGAGCAGUGGGGAAUAGUGCGCAGUAGGCGCAAACCUUGUGCAGCCAUGCCGCGUGUAUUAAGAAGGCCUUCGGGUUGUGAAGUACGUUCAGCGGGGAGGAAGGUGUUGAGGUUAUUAACCACAGUAAUUGACGUUACCCGCAGAAGAAGCACCGGCUAACUCCGUG
rnacentral:rRNA from 1 species